AUUGAACGCUGGCGGCAGGCCUAACACAUGCAAGUCGAGCGAGCGGCGGACGGGUGAGUAAUGUCUGGGAAACUGCCUGAUGGAGGGGGAUAACUACUGGAAACGGUAGCUAAUACCGCAUACCAUCAGAUGUGCCCAGAUGGGCUUAGCUAGUAGGUGGGGUAACGGCUCACCUAGGCGACGACCCCUAGCUGGUCUGAGAGGCUGACCAGACACACUGGGACAGGGACACGGUCAAGACUCCUACGGGGGGCAGCAGUAGGGAAUAUUGCACGAUGUGCGAAAGCCUGAUGCAGACAUGCCGCGUGUGUGAAGAAGGCCUUCGGGUUGUAAAGCACUUUCAGCGAGGAGGCGUUACCCGCAGAAGAAGCACCGGCUAACUCCGUGCCAGCCGCCGCGGUAAUUC
rnacentral:rRNA from 1 species